GAUGAACGCUGACAGAAUGCUUAACACAUGCAAGUCUUUGGCGAAUCUGUGCUUGCACAGGCUAGCCAAGGCGGACGGGUGAGUAACGCGUAAAGAACUUGCCCUGCAGACAGGGAUAACAGACGGAAACGACUGAUAACACCUGAUACAGUUGCCGGCACGCAUGUGCCUGGCAAUGAAAAGAGAUGCUGCAGGAGAGCUUUGCGUCCUAUUAGCUUGUUGGUGAGGUGACGGCUCACCAAGGCGAUGAUAGGUAGCCGGCCUGAGAGGGUGAACGGCCACAAGGGGACUGAGAUACGGCCCUUACUCCUACGGGAGGCAGCAGUGGGGAAUAUUGGACAAUGGGGGCAACCCUGAUCCGGCAAUUCUGUGUGCACGAAGAAGGUUUUCGGAUUGUAAAGUGCUUUCAGCAGGGAAGAAGAAAGUGACGGUACCUGCAGAAGAAGCGACGGCUAAAUACGUG
rnacentral:rRNA from 1 species